rnacentral:tRNA from 1 species
GUCCCUGUAGCUCAAUUUGGAUAGAGCAGCUGCCUUCGAAGCAGAAGGUUGCAGGUUCAAAUCCUGCCAGGGACG